GACGAACCGUGCGAACGUUGUUCGGAAUCACUGGGCUUAAAGGGCGCGUAGGCGGGCGGCCAAGUCGGAGGUGAAAGCCUACAGCUUAACUGUAGAAUUGCCAUUGAUACUGAUGAUCUUGAGUAUGAUUGAGGUGGGCGGAAUGUGUCAUGUAGCGGUGAAAUGCUUAGAUAUGACACAGAACACCGAUUGCGAAGGCAGCUCACUAAGCCAUAACUGACGCUGAUGCACGAAAGCGUGGGGAGCAAACAGG
rnacentral:rRNA from 1 species